rnacentral:sRNA from 1 species
GGUCUCGGCGUGUCAAGCCGACGCGAUGGAGAUGGUGAACACGGUGGUUUUUCGGCUUUCUCACCGUGGCCAACGAAUAGGCAGGCGAGCGCCCAUCCAUCCUCCGC